rnacentral:misc_RNA from 1 species
GAAACGCGAAAGGUAAUGCGAAUUGCAGAAUCAGUGAGUCAUCGAAUUUUUGAACGCACAUUGCGUCUCUCGGUAUUCCGGGAGGCACGCCUGUUCGAGCGCCAUUACAAACUCCAAGCUGUUGCUUGAUGUUGGACGACGUCUUUUGAGAGUGAUCGAGACGCGUCUGGAAGAAGUGGGCGGCCUCCGCCAGACCGCGAGCGUAGCAAGACGUCACGUCAUUCGCUCGGAUGGAUCUGACGAGGGUCUGUCUCUUGGCAUGACAUGUCUGGAGUUGUCGAGAUUCAUCUUUGAUAACGAAGGACAUGCCAACCCCAACCAAAGUUUGGCCUCGGAUCAGGCGGGGAUACCCGCUGAACUUAAGC